UACAGAGGUGGCAAGCGUUGUUCGGAAUUACUGGGCGUAAAGGGCGAGUAGGUGGCCAUCUAAGUCAGACGUGAAAUCCCCCGGCUUAACCUGGGAACUGCGUCUGAUACUGGAAGGCUUGAGGAUGGGAGAGGGAUGUAGAAUUCCAGGUGUAGCGGUGAAAUGCGUAGAUAUCUGGAGGAAUACCGGUGGCGAAGGCGGCAUCCUGGACCAUUACUGACGCUGAGGCGCGAAAGCUAGGGGAGCAAACGGGG
rnacentral:rRNA from 1 species